AUGGUGUAUAGCAAGAUCCCAACAGACACACACAAGCUGAAGCCAGUGGAAGACUGCAAGCACUGCUAUGCAAAGAAGUUUGAGCGUGAGACCAUGGGGUUUUGCUGCCGUAAGGGGAAGAUCAAACUAGCCAACCCGGAUACGCCUCCUGAGCUCAUGAAGCUAUGGACGAGUGAUGACCCUGCUGCUAGGCAUUUUCGUGACAACAUCAGGUUUUUCAAUAGCCAUUUCUCAUUCACCUCACUAUAUUGUCACCUUGAUAGUGAUACCACUAACAAAUUAAAGCAUCCUAUCUACACAUUCCGUGCCCAUGGCCAAAUGUACCACAACAUACGGUCAUUUGGCAAACAAGAUGGUUUGGAUCGUAGUCAUCUGGAGCUCUAAUUCUAUGAUGAUGAUCCCAGUUUAGAGCAUAGGUAUCGCAGUUGUCGCAAAGAGCAGUGCCAGAAAGACAAAGAAGUAAUCACACAACUGGUCGACAUACUUCGUGGCAACCCAUACUCUGAACACCUCCGUAGUAUGGGGCAUGUUGAUGAUGUGGAUGACUAUCACAUAACACUUAACCUUGACCAAAGGAUGGAUCAGAGAAGAUAUAAUGCGCCGACCACUUCAGAAGUAGCAGCUGUGUGGGUGGAGGGCAGUGAACGUCGAAGAUAG
rnacentral:rRNA from 1 species